rnacentral:rRNA from 1 species
UACGAAGGGGGCUAGCGUUGUUCGGAAUUACUGGGCGUAAAGCGCACGUAGGCGGGUCUUUAAGUCGGAGGUGAAAUCCUGGAGCUCAACUCCAGAACUGCCUUCGAUACUGAGGAUCUCGAGUCCGGGAGAGGUGAGUGGAACUGCGAGUGUAGAGGUGAAAUUCGUAGAUAUUCGCAAGAACACCAGUGGCGAAGGCGGCUCACUGGCCCGGUACUGACGCUGAGGUGCGAAAGCGUGGGGAGCAAACAGG